rnacentral:rRNA from 1 species
AUUGAACGCUGGCGGCAGGCCUAACACAUGCAAGUCGAGCGGAUGAAGGGAGCUUGCUCCUGGAUUCAGCGGCGGACGGGUGAGUAAUGCCUAGGAAUCUGCCUGGUUGUGGGGGAUAACGUCCGGAAACGGGCGCUAAUACCGCAUACGUCCUGAGGGAGAAAGUGGGGGAUCUUCGGACCUUACGCUAUCAGAUGAGCCUAGGUCGGAUUAGCUAGUUGGUGGGGUAAAGGCCUACCAAGGCGACGAUCCGUAACUGGUCUGAGAGGAUGAUCAGUCACACUGGAACUGAGACACGGUCCAGACUCCUACGGGAGGCAGCAGUGGGGAAUAUUGGACAAUGGGCGAAAGCCUGAUCCAGCCAUGCCGCGUGUGUGAAGAAGGUCUUCGGAUUGUAAAGCACUUUUAGUUGGGAGGAAGGGCAGUAAGUUAAUACCUUGCUGUUUUGACGUUACCAACAGAAUAAGCACCGGCUAACUUCGUG